GGAAAGGCAGAAAGGCUGAGGCCCUGAGGCUGGCGAUAGUUUGUUAGGCGGCUCCCUAAACAGACUAAGGCGUCCACUCUGCACCGGAGCUUCUCAAGCGAGGCCCCCGAACAGCAGCCUCAACAUCACCUGGGAUCUCGUCAGAAAUGCAAAUUCUUCCCUCACCCCAAGUCAGCUAAAAUAGAAAUGCUAUUUCUGAGCACAAGCAACUCCAUGAACCCUAUCCUGGUUUCUCAAUAACUCCGACCACUAGAAGGAGACACGGCCAAUUUCAGAGCUGGGAUGAGGUAAGAUUCUUUGAGCCUUGGGCAUCAAAUCGUGCCAGAAAUCAAGAAUUUGGUCAAAGACUCAUGAGGGCAGGUCUGAAAAACAAAAGAACUAGUUUCCUAAUUAAUACCAAAAAUGCAUACAUAUAUAUGUAUGUUUUCUAAUUGAUCUGACAUAUAUAUAUCAUAUAUGCCAUCUAUGAUAUAUAUCUAUAUAGAUGAACUAGAAAAUAUACAUAUACACAUAAAUACUGAUAAUUUUCACAGUCUUUCAUUACUUUUCCUUUUUGUAUGAUGGAUUUGUAUGUUGAUAUCUCAAAUGUCACCAGUGGGUUCCCUAUGAAACAAGUGCUUUUGUCUUUUACACUUGCCCUCAUGAGUCUUUGAUCACAUUCUUCUUUCAUAUAUAUUAUAUAUAUAUAAUAUAUAUAUAUAUGCUGAGUAGAUGUGAGCAUUAAAAAAUGAGUAAAAUAAAUUAAAAAUCAUAACACAAGAAUCCGUGAGUCUGUAGCAAUUAGUGCGACAAUGAGAAAAAGAACAACAAUCUUUGUCUACUCUGAUGGUGGUCAUUACAGUAAUUACGUUCACAGUACAUUGCUAAUUGAAGGAAGAAGUUUACCUUUACUCUCACUUAGAGGAAUAGUAGUUUAUUAUUUUUACUUGGUGAGAAAUUAUUUUUAAUUAAAUGUCAGGUAAGAAUAGUUAAACAAGUGGUUAAAAUUGUAAAUGAUUAUGUAAAAACCCCAAGGAAAUAACAAAUAAGAAAUAACAAAGAAGAAAACAGAAAUGCAGUAGAAAAAAGUUCAAAUCACUGAUGUAUACUCAAUCAUAUGUGAAAAUUUGUCAUGGGAAUAUGACUUCUUCUGUUGAGAAUUAUCCCCCAGCAGAUUACUAGUAAUUGUUAAAGAGAAAACAUGAGUUAAAAACAACAGAUCUGACCACUGUUAGCUUAACCAAGUUUUUAAAACUACCUUCACCACUAGUGGGGCAUUCUGUGAUUGUAUGCAGUCUAGUGUCGUGCAAUUUGAAAAACACAGCAUGAUAAAAACAUUUUCUUGCCCCAAAGUUUUAAGCCAAUGUAAUAAAAUACUCACAUCUAACUUUUAAUUUACAGGAACCUUCAACUGGGAAAAACAAGUUAACUGAUAUCAAAUACAACAAUAUAAAAACAAUUGAAUUCUGGUUAAAAAAAGAAGAGCUACAAAAGAUAUUUUGAUUAAGCAAUGAAAAAUUAAAAUAUGGACCGGAUACCAAAUGA
rnacentral:lncRNA from 1 species